rnacentral:lncRNA from 1 species
GACUGAUAAGGUUUGAAGACUGAACUCUCUCUACAUGGCCUUUCAAUCAGCUUCUUACAUCAAGGUUGUGGCUGACAGACAUCUCUCUGACUGUCAUAGGAACGAACAUGCUGAUUCAGAUCAAGGUAUUCUGUGGCCCACUGCUUGGACUCCAAUAUUGGCUAGAAGUGGAUGAAUGCCAAGAAAAAAAGUAAAAAUAGGGGUUCACAGUGAUUUGUGUAAAUACAAGCCAUGACUUAGGAUCUUAUCAGUAAAAUCCACCUUUGUAGAAGACAGGAGUAACAAGAAUCCAAGA